GAUGAGUACAAAGAAUAUCAAAAUGGGUUGGCAAAACUUGAAGAAAAAUAUUUUUUGGAAAUUCUUUGACUGAUAAAACAUCAACAAACAAUGUGUUCCUCUUCAGCCUUUGAAUUGGUAAUGACCUAAGAACAGUCUCAGUUGAAAUAAUCGAAGUACAAAGUACAAUAACAUCAGGGUGUUGCUCACAAAGAUCAUGUGGAUCUUGAAAAAAGGAAACCCCUAAAGAAAUAGCAAUUUGGGAAUAAUCUGUUCUUGAAUGAGCCAACACAAAAU
rnacentral:misc_RNA from 1 species